rnacentral:lncRNA from 1 species
AUGGGUAUCUUUGCUAGAUGGUCACUUCGACUAGUACAGGAAUUGGUUCCUGUGCUACCGGCUUAGGUUCGAACCUGCGGGGUCACACACAUUAGAGGUUCCUAUCUGAUCUGAUGGCUGAUCUACUAUCCGCACAAAGGUAUUAUGUUCUGAACACAUUACAGUAAAGUGUUUACUGUUCAAAUUUGAAUUUCAAAUUUAAAUGCAUGCAUGCUAUAUAUCAUAUUUAGAUCCUAGUGUAGGAUAAAUUUUUAUUAAUUAAUUAAAUUAAUUAAUAAUUUUUACUGUAAAAUAG